CGCGGUAAUUGAGCGGAUGGUAGAGUACAGGUGCAGGACUUUUAAGGGUCGUGUCCUUAUUCUCAACAUAACGCUGGGAUUUGAUGAUGAGGCAUGUUCAGGGUUUGUGGGGAGGUUCACAGACAUCCUCAGGGGGGAUACAAAGUAUUGAAAUGUCCGGAUGAAUAAAAGAGACAGUCAUCUGUGCAGCAUCAAUGCAAUGAAAGACCAUAGAAGAGCAACAGUGAAACUGAAGUCCUGCUUGAGAUCCCUGGAUGAGUACUCCAGGUUGACAGUCUGGAAGGACCAGACAAGGGAAUCCUAAACAGAUAUCAGAGGUGAUUUGCAGACAGCGAUGACGAGGGUCCUGUUAUUUCAAUGGAGGCCGACUGAGAAGUUGUAUGCCAAAUGGUACUGGGACACACAAAGGCUGGUCUGCCUAAUGUGAGAUGACCAACCAAUGCCAAGCUGGAGUGGAAUUCUUCCAGGACAUUCAGGAAAUUCUUGUCUUGAGCCAUGUGGUAAACACUUGAAAGGAAUGAUAAAUGGGACUUAUUGUCUUUAAAUGUGGACCCAAACACCAAAUGGAAAGUUCACAAUUCUACUAACACAAUGCUGCAGAGAUAGAGUCCAACUGGUAUCCCCUCAUCCUGGUUCCUGUUCAUCCAUGACAAUAUAGAAAGAAAAGGAGUAUUGAGGGAAAGUAAGUUCUCUGAACUGGUGAACAUAAUCCGUAGGUACUGUCAAGCGAACAGUUAUCACACUCUGUUAUGAGUAUUGAAGAAUAGGA